rnacentral:rRNA from 1 species
GACGAACGCUGGCGGCGUGCCUAAUACAUGCAAGUCGAGCGGAGUUAUUUUAGAAGCUUGCUUCUGAAAUGACUUAGCGGCGGACGGGUGAGUAACACGUAGGUAACCUGCCUGUAAGACUGGGAUAACUACCGGAAACGGUAGCUAAUACCGGAUAACUCAUUUUACCGCAUGGUGAGAUGAUGAAAGACGGAGCAAUCUGUCACUUACGGAUGGGCCUGCGGCGCAUUAGCUAGUUGGUGGGGUAACGGCUCACCAAGGCGACGAUGCAUAGCCGACCUGAGAGGGUGAACGGCCACACUGGGACUGAGACACGGCCCAGACUCCUACGGGAGGCAGCAGUAGGGAAUCUUCCGCAAUGGACGAAAGUCUGACGGAGCAACGCCGCGUGAGUGAUGAAGGUUUUCGGAUCGUAAAGCUCUGUUGCCAGGGAAGAACGUCCGGUAGAGUAACUGCUAUCGGAGUGACGGUACCUGAGAAGAAAGCCCCGGCUAACUACGUGCCAGCCGCCGCCGUAACAC